AACAAGCCAUGUGCGGGCUAAUUGACUCAAGAGCACUUUCUCCCUCAGAUCUAGGUCUUCCCUUAUGUUUACCUUAAUUAGUAUUCAAAUCUAAUGGUCUAGAUGAGUCUCCUUGGAAGCGCGCAUGUGCCAUUGGAUUAGAUCUAAUGGAUCUGAUCAUCUGAGAUCCUUGCCUUGACUUCUUGGUCAACUCUGGCAAGUGGAAUGAGCCUCAACGCAUGGGCCUGGGAUUUUUCAGUAUCUCAACCUCUUUAUUUCUAUCUGCACUCCCUAUUCA
rnacentral:lncRNA from 1 species